AACGUACGCUGGCGGCACGCCUAACACAUGCAAGUCGAACGCAGUAGCAAUACUGAGUGGCAGACGGGUGAGUAACAUGUGGGAAUCUGCCUUGUGGUUCAGGACAACAUUGGGAAACCGAUGCUAAUACUGGAUAAGCCCUUACGGGGAAAGUUUUAAUGCCAUAAGAUGAGCCCGCAUUUGAUUAGUUAGUUGGUGAGGUAACGGACCACCAAGGCGACGAUCAGUAGGGGUUCUGAGAGGAAGGUCCCCCACACUGGCACUGAGAUACGGGCCAGACUCCUACGGGAGGCAGCAGUAGGGAAUAUUGGGCAAUGGUCGGAAGACUGACCCAGCCAUGCCGCGUGCAGGAAGACGGCCCUCUGGGUUGUAAACUGCUUUUAUCUGGGAAGAAAAAGGCCAUGCGUGGCAAAUUGCCGGUACCAGAUGAAUAAGCACCGGCUAACUCCGUG
rnacentral:rRNA from 1 species